CAGAGACUGCAAGCGUUAUUCGGAUUCACUGGGCGUAAAGGGUGCGCAGGCGGCCGAGUGUGUGAGGCGUGAAGGCCCGGGGCUUAACCCCGGAAUUGCACCUCAAACUACACGGCUAGAGCAUUGGAGAGGGUAGCAGAAUUCAUGGUGUAGCAGUGAAAUGCGUAGAUAUCAUGAGGAAUACCAGAGGCGAAGGCGGCUACCUGGACAAUUGCUGACGCUCAGGCACGAAAGCGUGGGGAGCAAAAGGGAUUAGAUACCCCUGUAGUCCACGCCCUAAACGGUGCACACUAGGUCUUGGCGGAUUCGACCCCCCAGGGCCCAAGCUAACGCGUUAAGUGUGCCGCCUGAGGACUACGGCCGCAAGGCUA
rnacentral:rRNA from 1 species